GGGUUGUGAGGUUAAGCGACUAAGCGUACACGGUGGAUGCCCUGGCAGUCAGAGGCGAUGAAGGGCGUGCUAAUCUGCGAUAAGCGCCGGUAAGGUGAUAUGAACCGUUAUAACCGGCGAUACCCGAAUGGGGAAACCCAGUGUGAUUCGUCACACUAUCAUUAACUGAAUCCAUAGGUUAAUGAGGCGAACCGGGGGAACUGAAACAUCUAAGUACCCCGAGGAAAAGAAAUCAACCGAGAUUCCCCCAGUAGCGGCGAGCGAACGGGGAGGAGCCCAGAGCCUGAAUCAGCAUGUGUGUUAGUGGAAGCGUCUGGAAAGGCGCGCGAUACAGGGUGACAGCCCCGUACACAAAAGCGCAUGUGCUGUGAGCUCGAUGAGUAGGGCGGGACACGUGGUAUCCUGUCUGAAUAUGGGGGGACCAUCCUCCAAGGCUAAAUACUCCUGACUGACCGAUAGUGAACCAGUACCGUGAGGGAAAGGCGAAAAGAACCCCGGCGAGGGGAGUGAAAAAGAACCUGAAACCGUGUACGUACAAGCAGUGGGAGCACCCUUUGGGUGUGACUGCGUACCUUUUGUAUAAUGGGUCAGCGACUUAUAUUCUGUAGCAAGGUUAACCGAAUAGGGGAGCCGGAGGGAAACCGAGUCUUAACCGGGCGUUAAGUUGCAGGGUAUAGACCCGAAACCCGGUGAUCUAGCCAUGGGCAGGUUGAAGGUUGGGUAACACUAACUGGAGGACCGAACCGACUAAUGUUGAAAAAUUAGCGGAUGACCUGUGGCUGGGGGUGAAAGGCCAAUCAAACCGGGAGAUAGCUGGUUCUCCCCGAAAGCUAUUUAGGUAGCGCCUCGUGAAUUCAUCUCCGGGGGUAGAGCACUGUUUCGGCUAGGGGGCCAUCCCGGCUUACCAACCCGAUGCAAACUGCGAAUACCGGAGAAUGUUAUCACGGGAGACACACGGCGGGUGCUAACGUCCGUCGUGAAGAGGGAAACAACCCAGACCGCCAGCUAAGGUCCCAAAGUCAUGGUUAAGUGGGAAACGAUGUGGGAAGGCCCAGACAGCCAGGAUGUUGGCUUAGAAGCAGCCAUCAUUUAAAGAAAGCGUAAUAGCUCACUGGUCGAGUCGGCCUGCGCGGAAGAUGUAACGGGGCUAAACCAUGCACCGAAGCUGCGGCAGCGACACUGUGUGUUGUUGGGUAGGGGAGCGUUCUGUAAGCCUGUGAAGGUGUGUCGUGAGGCAUGCUGGAGGUAUCAGAAGUGCGAAUGCUGACAUAAGUAACGAUAAAGCGGGUGAAAAGCCCGCUCGCCGGAAGACCAAGGGUUCCUGUCCAACGUUAAUCGGGGCAGGGUGAGUCGACCCCUAAGGCGAGGCCGAAAGGCGUAGUCGAUGGGAAACGGGUUAAUAUUCCCGUACUUGGUGUUACUGCGAAGGGGGGACGGAGAAGGCUAUGUUGGCCGGGCGACGGUUGUCCCGGUU
rnacentral:rRNA from 3 species